AAAAAAACCUCUCAAGCAAGAGCCCACUACAGCAGUACUUUGUGCUCCAAGGUCCUCGUCCAGUGGCGAGAGACUAUGUCAGUGCAGAUAUAUUACCGACAAAAGGAGGCAGCUGCCCUCAGGGAAGCCCGGAAAGCAAUGGACAGGGCGUCUCCGGAACUGGUUUCAACACUAGGGUUCUGCAGCCAGAGGGUGGCCCAGCAGAGAUUCCAGCUGGGACAGGCGGGUCAGCAUCACCGCUGGCAGCUGCUGAUGGAAGCAAUGGCCAGGUGGAAGGCACACCAUCUGGGGUGUAUCAGAAAGAAGUUUCUGCAGAGACAAGCUGCCCAACUCCUGGCACAGAGACUCGGUCGGGCCUGCUUCUGGCAGAGGAAGCAGCUGGCAGUCCGGAAGCAAGAACAGUGGGGCACAGCCGGGCCCUGUGGCUCUGGGCCUUCUCACUACAAGCAAAGGUGUGGACUGCAUGGCUGGGCUUCAUACUUGAGAGGAGGAGGAAGGCCGCAUGAAUGGAACGGGCUAUGCAAGCCUACCAGCAGCAGCAGCUCCUACAGGAGGGUGCCACACAGCUUCUGUGCUUCACAGCUGGUAUGAAUGCCUUCCGGCAGCAGCUCCAGGCCCAGCAGCAGAUCCAGGCAGCUCACAGGCUCCACUGUGCAGUCCGCCACUGUGCUGAGCUCUGGAAAAAGAAGGUGCUUGGUCUAGGCAAGACUUCUCAACCACCAGCACCCACCACAUUCAGCAAGAGAGUGACAUUUAAGGAUUCCUUCCUCCCUGGACAUGCUGCAGAGGCUGGAGAUGCUACCCUGGAGACAAAGAAGCUUCAAGCUCCUCCAUCUCAGGGAGUCCUGGGUAGUUUGGCAGGUGUUGCUGGGGAGCCCUGCCUCCUAGACCUCAAUGCAGCCCGCUCAUCACGGAAACAGCCCCGACGUCCAUCCUUCCUGCUUGAGCGUUUGGGGAGCCAGGUCCCCAGAGUGGUACACCCUUGGGAACAGCAGUAAAGAAGCCCCCGGAGGAGGAAAGCACGGCCCCGCUGGGAGGCCCUUCCCUGAAAAGACCCUUCCUACCUGGGGUCCUGCCGAAUGUUCCUGAUCCGAAGCUGCCUCCUAUGGCAGGCCUGGAGCUGCUGCCUCCCUCCUCCAUCAUGCCCCGUGCGGCAGGAGGCACUGCCAGGGUGUCAGUGAAGCCCAGCAUCCCUGGGCCUCAGCCUUGGGGGUGCCCGUCCUUACCCAGGGACCUUGAUCCCCAUCUCCUCCCCAGGGAUUCCAUAAGCACCUGGCUGGGCCUGUUUAUGGCUCCGAGGCUACAGGCCACACAGAGCUUGAGGCUGAAUUGGAGGGGAUCCAGCAGCAGUUACAGCACUACCAAACCACCAAGCAGGACCUUUGGUCAUGCCAGCAACAAGCCAACAGCCUGCGUAGGUGGCUGGAGCUAAGCCAGGAGGUGCCGAGAUCUAAGGACCUUCAUCUAGAAGAGCAGGUGAAAACCGAACUGGAGGAGGUGGAACUGCAGAUCCAGCAGCUGGCUAAGGAGCUCGAGGCCCAGUGUCAGCCU
rnacentral:lncRNA from 1 species